GAAGAAGGCCUUCGGUUGUAAGCUCUUUCGGCCGGGAAGAAAUACGCAUGGGUCAAUACCCUGUUGUGGAUGACGGUACCGGAAUAAGAAGCACCGGCUAACUACGUGCCAGCAGCCGCGGUAAUACGUAGGGUGCGAGCGUUAAUCGGAAUUACUGGGCGUAAAGCGUGCGCAGGCGGUUUUGGUAAGUCAGAUGUGAAAUCCCCGGGCUCAACCUGGGAACUGCAUUUGAGACUGCCAAGCUGGAGUUUGGCAGAGGGGGUGGAAUUCCACGUGUAGCAGUGAAAUGCGUAGAGAUGUGGAGGAACACCGAUGGCGAAGGCAGCCCCCUGGGCCAAUACUGACGCUCAUGCACGAAAGCGUGGGGAGCAAACAGGAUUAGAUACCCUAGGUAGUCCACGCCCUAAA
rnacentral:rRNA from 1 species